rnacentral:rRNA from 1 species
CACGCAGGCGGUCCUGUUCCAAGUCGGAUGUGAAAUCCCCCGGGCUCCAACCUGGGAACUGCAUUUCGAAACUGGCAGGCUAGAGUCUUGUAGAGGGGGGUAGAAUUUCCAGGUGUAGCGGUGAAAUGCGUAGAGAUCUGGAGGAAUACCGGUGGCGAAGGCGGCCCCCUGGACAAAGACUGACGCUCAGGUGCGAAAGCGUGGGGAGCAAACAGGAUUAGAUACCCUGGUAGUCCACGCCGUAAACGAUGUCGACUUGGAGGUUGUUCCCUUGAGGAGUGGCUUCCGGAGCUAACGCGUUAAGUCGACCGCCUGGGGAGUACGGCCGCAAGGUUAAAACUCA